UUAAGUUAAUAAGGGCGCACGGUGGAUGCCUUGGCACUAGGAGCCGACGAAGGACGUGACAAACGACGAUAUGCCUUGGGUAGCUGUAAGUAAGCGAUGAUCCAGGGAUUUCCGAAUGGGGGAACCCAACAGGUAAUACCUGUUACCUACAUCUGUUAAGGAUGUGAGGAGGAAGACGCAGUGAACUGAAACAUCUAAGUAGCUGCAGGAAGAGAAAGCAAAAGCGAUUGCCUUAGUAGCGGCGAGCGAAACGGCAGAAGGGCAAACCGAAGAGUUUACUCUUCGGGGUUGUAGGACUGCAAUGUGGACUCAAAGAUUAUAGAAGAAUGAUUUGGGAAGAUCAGCCAAAGAGAGUAAUAGCCUCGUAUUUAAAAUAGUCUUUGUACUUAGCAGUAUCCUGAGUACGGCGGGACACGUGAAAUCCCGUCGGAAUCUGGGAGGACCAUCUCCCAACCCUAAAUACUCCCUAGUGACCGAUAGUGAACCAGUACCGUGAGGGAAAGGUGAAAAGCACCCCGGGAGGGGAGUGAAAUAGAACCUGAAACCGUGUGCCUACAACAAGUUCGAGCCCGUUAAUGGGUGAGAGCGUGCCUUUUGUAGAAUGAACCGGCGAGUUACGUUAUGAUGCGAGGUUAAGUUGAAGAGACGGAGCCGUAGGGAAACCGAGUCUGAAUAGGGCGCCUUAGUAUCAUGACGUAGACCCGAAACCAUGUGACCUACCCAUGAGCAGGUUGAAGGUGCGGUAAGACGCACUGGAGGACCGAACCAGGGCACGUUGAAAAGUGCUUGGAUGACUUGUGGGUAGCGGAGAAAUUCCAAACGAACUUGGAGAUAGCUGGUUCUCUCCGAAAUAGCUUUAGGGCUAGCGUCGACAUUAGAGAUUCUUGGAGGUAGAGCACUGUUUGGGUGAGGGGUCCAUCCCGGAUUACCAAUCUCAGAUAAACUCCGAAUGCCAAUGAAUUAUGGUCGGCAGUCAGACUGCGAGUGCUAAGAUCCGUAGUCGAAAGGGAAACAGCCCAGACCACCAGCUAAGGUCCCAAAAUAAUUGUUAAGUGGAAAAGGAUGUGGGGUUGCACAGACAACUAGGAUGUUAGCUUAGAAGCAGCUAUUCAUUCAAAGAGUGCGUAAUAGCUCACUAGUCGAGUGACCCUGCGCCGAAAAUGUACCGGGGCUAAAACAAUUUACCGAAGCUGUGGAUACCUUUAUAGGUAUGGUAGGAGAGCGUUCUAUGUGUGAUGAAGGUAUACCGUGAGGAGUGCUGGAACGCAUAGAAGUGAGAAUGCCGGUAUGAGUAGCGAAAGACAGGUGAGAAUCCUGUCCACCGUAAGACUAAGGUUUCCAGGGGAAGGCUCGUCCGCCCUGGGUUAGUCGGGACCUAAGGAGAGACCGAAAGGUGUAUCCGAUGGACAACAGGUUGAUAUUCCUGUACUAGAGUAUGUAGUGAUGGAGGGACGCAGUAGGCUAACUAAAGCAGACGAUUGGAAGAGUCUGUCUAAGCAGUGAGGUGUGAAUUGAGUCAAAUGCUUAAUUCUAUAACAUUGAGCUGUGAUGGGGAGCGAAGUUUAGUAGCGAAGUUAGUGACGUCACACUGCCAAGAAAAGCUUCUAGCGUUUAAACAUACUCUACCCGUACCGCAAACCGACACAGGUAGUCGAGGCGAGUAGCCUCAGGUGAGCGAGAGAACUCUCGUUAAGGAACUCGGCAAAAUGACCCCGUAACUUCGGGAGAAGGGGUGCUGACUUAAAGUCAGCCGCAGUGAAUAGGCCCAAGCAACUGUUUAUCAAAAACACAGCUCUCUGCUAAAUCGUAAGAUGAUGUAUAGGGGGUGACGCCUGCCCGGUGCUGGAAGGUUAAGAGGAGUGCUUAGCGUAAGCGAAGGUAUGAAUUGAAGCCCCAGUAAACGGCGGCCGUAACUAUAACGGUCUAAGGUAGCGAAAUUCCUUGUCGGGUAAGUUCCGACCCGCACGAAAGGCGUAAUGAUUUGGGCACUGUCUCAACGAGAGACUCGGUGAAAUUUUAGUACCUGUGAAGAUGCAGGUUACCCGCGACAGGACGGAAAGACCCCAUGGAGCUUUACUGCAGUUUGAUAUUGAGUGUCUGUACCACAUGUACAGGAUAGGUAGGAGUCUAAGAGAUCGGGACGCCAGUUUCGAAGGAGACGCUGUUGGGAUACUACCCUUGUGUUAUGGCCACUCUAACCCAGAUAGGUGAUCCCUAUCGGAGACAGUGUCUGACGGGCAGUUUGACUGGGGCGGUCGCCUCCUAAAAGGUAACGGAGGCGCCCAAAGGUUCCCUCAGAAUGGUUGGAAAUCAUUCGCAGAGUGUAAAGGUAUAAGGGAGCUUGACUGCGAGAGCUACAACUCGAGCAGGGACGAAAGUCGGGCUUAGUGAUCCGGUGGUUCCGUAUGGAAGGGCCAUCGCUCAACGGAUAAAAGCUACCCUGGGGAUAACAGGCUUAUCUCCCCCAAGAGUUCACAUCGACGGGGAGGUUUGGCACCUCGAUGUCGGCUCGUCGCAUCCUGGGGCUGUAGUCGGUCCCAAGGGUUGGGCUGUUCGCCCAUUAAAGCGGCACGCGAGCUGGGUUCAGAACGUCGUGAGACAGUUCGGUCCCUAUCCGUCGCGGGCGUAGGAAAUUUGAGAGGAUCUGCUCCUAGUACGAGAGGACCAGAGUGGACUUACCGCUGGUGUACCAGUUGUCUUGCCAAAGGCAUCGCUGGGUAGCUAUGUAGGGAAGGGAUAAACGCUGAAAGCAUCUAAGUGUGAAACCCACCUCAAGAUGAGAUUUCCCAUGAUUAUAUAUCAGUAAGAGCCCUGAGAGAUGAUCAGGUAGAUAGGUUAGAAGUGGAAGUGUGGCGACACAUGUAGCGGACUAAUACUAAUAGCUCGAGGACUUAUCCAA
rnacentral:rRNA from 1 species